UAUGAACAACUGUGUCAUCAACAUCACCAGCAUGAGCAAUGCUAGGGUCCAGAGCCUGACAUCACUGUCCUCCCACACCAAGAGUUCCAGCAGCUGUGUGUUCUGGAAGAGGCGGCUUGGCAUCAUCUUCUUCUGACAGCUCAUCUAAAGGCAGCAUUAAUUGUGGCAGCAGACAGUCAAGAAAAUCUGCCAUUGGUGCCAUCAUCUCUGCAGAGAUUACAAUCUUUUGAGCAUGAAGUGAAAGAACUUGAAGAUAGACUUGUAUUUCCUCAAAAGAGUCUCGUGUUUCAGCUAAGCCAAGAAGAUCGACACAUCAUCUUCCAGGGAGAUGUUUUUCACUGGUGCAGUGGCCAAUGGGCUAAGGGGAUGAUGGUGCUGUUUUCAGACAUUCUUAUGUUGCUGAAGCCAGAAAAGGGCGGACAGCUGCAUGUUGUAUCUGAACCCAUUCUGCUUCGAAAUAUAUGUAGCAUAGAAACAAGCAGAAAACAUUCUACAGAGAUUCUGUUACAACAUUACACAAGUCCAAGCAACACCAUUCCAGCUUCACAGAAAAUCUUUCGAGCUCCAACACUAGAAGAUAAGGUAGCAUGGAAAAGUCUUCUGGAACAGAAAGCAUUGAGAGCAAGAGGGGGUCGCAUCGAGAAUGUGGGAACUACAGAGACAUUCAGAUCUGGCAUCAUCUGACCAUCAUCCUCUUGACCUCAUGGUGUAUCUUAUUCUCCCAAGCUGCCAAAAAUGGUUUGUGCACGUGGAUUCUGCGAUGUGUGCCUGAGGUGACAAGAAGUGAAAUGUAUUGGAACAUAACUGGUGAAGUCACUACUGAAUUGCUUUCAAGGAUAGGUCCUGGGUGCACAUCCUGACAAGACAACAAUGCUCAUUUUGGAUUUUGUGCCUGUGACAGAAUUCACCUGCUGUGAAUCAUAUUGGAAGAAUUAGCACUGAGGCUACUUCAUUUCAAGAGCUUCUUGGCAAAAACUUCUAAGGGCUGUGUGUAAUUUAUUUCAUGUUAAUUUCGACAUUAUUUAUGAGGCAUGGAUCUUGAGAUGGACAACUAGCAUGACUAGUCAAAGACCUCGUAAGACUUUCAAUGUCUAUUCCAGCUCCUGCAAAUGCUUAAGAACCUUCUGAUUGGAAAGGAAAAGAGAAGUGUUACAGAACUGCAUGGUGGCUGCUGUUAAGAAUUGACAUCUGCAAAGAAAAGUUUACUGCAACAAGUUAAAGGUCCCAUUUAAAAAUUUCAAACAUCCUUAACAGCAGAACAAGACAAAGACCACUUCCACUGUGAUUGACAGACUGACUUUAAUUCCACAGCUGUGGUGCAUGGAAUGCAACAUAGCGUCUUGUUUACAUCCAGUGUGCAAGCUCUGGACAUCACUAGGUAGUUUGACACCACUUCAGGAAUCUUAGAGGUGCUAGAAAAGUGAGAUCUAGCAAGUGUUGCAACAUAAAGAUAGUGUACUUCUGAUAUAAGGUGCAAAUUAUCACAAAGUAUCUUUCUGCAGAUUGUGGAUAACCUGCUAGGUGAUUAGGCGACUAAAAAGUGCCAAGUCACAAGGAAUGACAUGUUUUAAUGAAAAUUCAUUUUUCCUGGUACCCGUGUUUAUAAUCUUUUCAUGCACUUGUGUGAUCUGCAGUGAGGCAACACACAGUUGGAUGCUGCUGUAGCAUAGGUUCAGUCAUGUGCUUCAUUCAAAAAGAGUAGUUCCAGUAGAACGUUUCACUACCUGGUCAUGCUUUUGGAUAUUCAUCCACCUCAGACGAUGUUACAAGAAGUUCUUUGUAUUUUCCAGAUCAUUACAAUUUGAGAUAAACUGUUUCAAAAGGAAAAGUUUUGAUUUAGGAGCAGUGUUUAUGAUAAUUUUUAUGCUAAACAAAAUUUCUUUUAAAGAAUCCUUGAAAUGUUAAGUAGAGAUAUGGCAUCUUUUAAAAUUCUAGUCAAAGCAGCAUUGACAUCCUGGUGGGGAGAAGUUAGCAUCUGCACCAUCAGGAAAUAUUGACAACUGGAAAGUAUUUUUUUUUUAUGGUAGGAUUUACUGUCUUUCCACAAGUCAUAUUUUUAUUCAGUGUUCUGGCUUUUUACUUAUUUUUUUCUGAAUUGCACAAUUUGCAAACUUUAAGAAAAUGAACUCUGCAGCUUAACAUCUUUUCUCCUUUCACAGUCUUCUUUUCCAAUUCUUGUCCUUUUCAGUUUCUAUCAGAGAUUUAUGGAUUUUAUUUCUGCUGCUUAUUUAUAUUGCUCUCCUUAACAUAAGCAAUAAUUGGAUUUCUUGAUGUAUGUGCUAUGUUUAUACAAAUCCCACUCCUUGCCAGCCUGUAGUGGCAGGCACCCUAUGUCUCACCAUUUUAUUUUUAGUUGAAUAUAUAAUGUAUUCCUUACACCCUCUGCAUCGUACAAUAUUUUUCACCAGUCUCUUGAAUAAUAGAGUGUAACUACACCUUGGCAUGCAGACUCGCACACAUACAAACUGAGGUUAAAUCAGUGUGCAAACAAUUUUUCAUUCAUGCAUAUGUAUUUCACUACCUUGAAGUACAUGAAUAUAGUGUGCAUUUCCUAUACACCAGAACUUUUGUAUGCAGGAAACCCCAACUGGACUAUUAUCACGAUAGCAGAUGAAAAUUAGGAUACAUGGACCCCCAAAAGCCAGCUAUUGUACAACAUGGUGCUGCAAAAAAGGGCCCCUGCAUCAAAAUUUACAUGCACUAUCGUGACGAUAGUCCAAUUGGGGCUUUCUGCAUAUGAGGACUGAUGAAUAACAAAGCUUGCCCUGUCUGCAACAGACUAUGACAAAAAUGACUGUUAAGAGCUAAGUAGAAUUUUGUUUUUAUGAAAAGAUUGCAAUAAUUAUACUACGUCACUGAUGCCUAUGAUACAAGGAUUGGCAUACAUACUUGAUCUUAAUUUUUAUUUUUAUACUCCACUAUUUUUAAUUGUGAUGAAGCGAAGACAAGGUGUUACAAAUUACAUGUAAAGACUUUCAUGCUGAAAAGUAAUGGAUUUUGGCAGAAUCUGAUGUCGUUUAUCCACUUUGUUCACACCAAGAUACUGUAGAUCAACAUUGUCAGCAGUCCUCAACAUGCAUCAGUUGUCCCACAUCAUUUUUAGUCUUCAGUCAUCAAACAACUUUUCUCAAUUAAUUAUGCUUCUCUCCUUUCCUUCAUACUGUUGUUAAUUUUAUGGUCUUCCUCUCUUAAUUAUCCAAGAGCACAAUUCUUUAAGUUUAUUUUUGACAAUCUUCGUUACUUGAAGUAUUUAACUUUUCUUAUUUCUUCACUGUAGUCUGGUCACCAGUUUGCAGGGCACAAUAUGAUAAAAAUUCAUUUUUUGUUGACGAUUGAACCAGCAAAUAAAAAAGAAAACACCAAGUAUAUUGAGUGUUAUC